rnacentral:miRNA from 1 species
AAUGCAAGAUACCCAGUUAGAUUUGAAUUUCAGAUGAACAAGGAGCAAUGUUUUAGUGUAAGUAUGACCCUUGCAAUGUUUGGGACAUACUUAAACUAAAAGGUUAUUUGUUGUUCAUCUGAAAUUCAAAUGUAAAUGGUCAUUCUGUAUUUU